ACCGAUAGGACGUCGGACAUUUUUAUCAGAAACAUUGUCAUUUGGUUCAUCACUAUUACACACAAUGGAAUGUCCUAAACACACAAGUGAGAAAGUGUUCAUGGUGUGUAAAUCGUGUGUAAAGUACCCUCUUGUCUGUGGAUUUUGUAUUGAAGAAGGGGAACAUACAGAACACAAACUCCAGACAUUACGGAACGCCGCUCAGUCUAUUCGUGAGGACUUGGAACAGGUAGAAAAGGACAAAUGUCAAGUGUUUGAUGAGAUCAAAUCUGACCUGAAAGGUCUCGCUAAAAUUAGGGAGGAUCAGAAAAUGGAAGCGAGUCGCGUUGGUGACGAAAUCGUAAAACGUGUUGUUGACAUCAAAGGUGAAGUGGACACCGUAAACAAGGAAGUAGCAGAGAAACAUAAAACUGAGCUCGAUAAGAAUAAGGCGGUCAUCGACAACACGGAAAUAGCACUGACACAACAAGUGUCCCGAAUAGAAAUUUUCCAGAAGAAGGUGGCUCAGCUACAGAAGACUGAACGACUACGUGGAGGUGAUCAUGGUCGCUAGGGACGUGGAGAUCCCGGACACCAGUCGUAUCCCGAAGCCUGACAUACAGAACCUGAAAUUCUUGCCGGGGAUUGUCAAUGGCACGGAAGUAGAGAAAAUGUUGGGGACUAUUACAGGAGAGGGUGAUGAUAACAUCACUACUGUGAAUACAUGUGAGGAAGAAGAUGACAAAUCCAACAUCUCAUCUGACUUUGUUGGAUCCAUCCAAAGAGAAUCAAAUAUCGAAGUGACACAGAUUAAGUCCUUUCAACUUUCCCAAAAGGAUGAGAUACGUUAUAUGUUUUCUCCUGAACCAGAUGUUUGUUUGCUUAAAUGCACAGACAGAAAUAGUGUUAAACAUUCCAACGGAACUGGCCAAAUUAAACACUCUAUCAACCUGGGAACUAAGACCGAUGGCUUUACUGUCACUACAGAUAACCGGUUACUAUUCUGUUGUACACACCAGGAAUGUAUCAAGGAGAUGGAACUGCCGAGUGGUGAGAUUAUAGAGAAGAUCGACACCAGUCCCCUAAUACCAAACUGUAUAUGUACCGGUCCUUCUGGGGAUAUCUACGUUACGCUGUACGAUGAGGACGGCUGUGACGUAACAGAGGACAGCACACGUGUUUUGGACAGGUAUAACAGGUGGGGUCGAAAGAAAAAAAGGUGUAAGAAUGAUAGAUGUGGUCGGAACAUAUUUGUUUUACCAGAUGAAAUUUGCGUAAACAACACUGGAACACGAGUAGCAGUGAUUAACAAAAUUAAUGAAAGACGAAGUGAGCUGAUCCUUCUUGAUAAGGGCCUACGUCCUGUACUUAUCUAUAGAGGACCCAGCGUGAUAACCGGCAACGUAAUGGGAGGUUUUGAGCUGACUGGGGUCAUAUUUGAUUCAAGAGACAACAUUUUGACAACUGAAGUUUUUAGUAACACUGUUCAACUUUUGAGUCCAUCUUGCGAGCCACUGAAGACCUUGAUGAUAAUGGAUACCAUCCCAUGUUGCAUGACGAUACACGGUAACGAAGUGUGGGUUGGUGACAAUUACGGUAAUGUGGUGACGUUUAGGUAUUCUUAUUAGAAGGUAAGAUAUAUUCGGUAUUAACAAAUAGUAUGUCACAUCACAACGUCUUGUCACAAUAAAGACAGGGAUAUUGUGUAGACUGGAUAAACAGUAAUACCAGGGUUGCAAUGAAUGGUCAACUAAUGUAGGGGUCUAAAGUUUGCAAUCGUCAAUUCAUGACCAUUCAAUGAGAUAUCACAAGGAAAUUACUUGCAGUAACAACGAUGCAGUGUGAAUACCUUUGGGUAGUCUUGGUUCCACAAACAAUGUACUUGUUUUUUUUCUUCUGUUAUAUAUCGUUACAGCACAUCAUCUUGGUCAAACUUUCAAAACUCUUGAACGCUCACUUAGCAACUCAGUCUGAGAUAGGUAUCACAUAAUAUGCCACUUAUACCUUAUUAACUACUAUCUACCGUAUGCGAUGAUCUCUUAGAACUACUAAUAUCGGAUUCUUCUCUAGUGUUACACAGAAUAUUUUCCCGGUGCUAGUAUUUCAUACCAACAUACAGCCUUUGGUUUAUUGAUUGUUUGAAAUACUCCACCUUGUUAAGAAUAACCAGACAUAUACCCGAAAUGCUAGUACAACUAAAGUUAAAUUAUUUUCACACUUUCACAUUUUUUAAAAUGCAAAUAUUAAAACACGUAUAAAUUUGCAUAUUGCUAUCGAAGAUGAAUGUCCAUAACUUCCAUUACAUUUCAUAACAUAUCUCCUUGACCACAGGCGCUUGCAUAGGAAAUGUGAUUUUCAUUUUUUUUAUAUGACAGUGGUAUGUGUACUCUGUAAAGUACCACACAGUACACAUACCACUGAUAUCAUUUUUUUUUAAUUCUCAUUUUCUAUGCAAGCGUCGGUGUCCUUGACUGGUGAAGUCCAAAGCGGCUUUGUUCAGGACGAAUAAUACCGGAUUCACGUCUGAUAUCUGGCAUUAUGUUUAUGUAACCUUGAUAAAUACUAACCGCAAUCUACCACUCGGCCAGAGACUAGUAAACCAGAAGUGCCGAGUUCGAUCCCUAGCGGAGACAUUGAUUUAUAUUUAAUUAAUCACGCGCUCUGUUACGCUUAGAAAUUAUAAAAAUGAGAUGGUUUUUUUUAAAUUUUGUUAUCGGUUAUCUAUGGAAAGGCCGAUAAGAUAUUUCACUUUCAACAAAAGAACGACAAAAUGUCUAGUUUUUAAGGGGUGUUUGUUAGAUUGAUUUUUUCUCGUAAGGACGACUAUUAUUGAUUGGUGUGCGAGAAUAGGCGAUUAUCAUACGCACAUGUGUAUUUGGUGUGUAGGAUAGGUGUGGAAAAGGAACAAAUAUUUUCAAAUUCAAAUAAUGGCGAUUACUGAUAUUUGUAAUUUGGGAUGAUCAGAUACUCAUUGGUUGCAGAGGGCGAUGAUGCUGGGGAAUAAGCAAAAUUGUAGUCAAAAGAAUAUAAUACUACUGUUUUAUUAUCUCAGUUUCCAUGAUGUAGGAUGCGUAACAAGAUUUCAAACAAAACAAGUUGAAAAUAAAGCAAAUGUAAUUUUACCAAGUUUUAGUACUAUGGUACAGUUAACUACAUUAUAUUUUAUAAUUAAUCUUCCAUUACUUAUUCAAUAAUAAUAAUUAUGAAAAAUAAAUCUUUGUCCUUUAUUGCAAAUACUAAUUUCCUUUGCUUACUAUGCACAUUUUACUUGAGCAAGACUGAUUACUGUCUGUAAAUAAGAGUUGUUCCCCUUUGAUAACAUAAUUUCUCGGCUUGCUGGCUGUAAUUUAAAGAGGUUUGGGUGUUAUGUAAUACUUAAGUUUUCAAUAUGAAAGCGUAACUAUUCCUUAUUUCUAAUUGUUGAUGCGACCUGAACCGCUCAGUGACUACUUUUAAAACAACAGAAGCAUAAGAUGCCAGUUGCAUUCAUAUUUUUGUAUUCACAAUAUGCUCAUGGAAGGAGUGUUACAUAUUGUACUACCUGCCUGUGAAGUGUCCUGUUCAGGAUUUGACUUAUAUUAAGCCAAAAUCGAUAAUAUCUUACUUUGGACUAGAAAACGUGAGAUGAGAUCAAAUAUUGCGGUUCGAUAAAAAUGUAGCGCUUGUCCUGUGACGGUAGGUCCUAGGUAGGAAACCCAAGGUCCGUAUACAUGAAACCAUUUUAUCCGCAAGCAUGAGAUCCGGGCUCAACCAAGCUUCCUUUAAACUCACUUAAAUCAGGAAAUAACAGUUUUAAGGAAAAUUACAUACGACGUGAAGCCUCUCUGAAAUAUCUUCAAAUCAUUAAAAACUGUUUAUUCAGAUAUCAGACUUAUAAAAAAAGUAUUUGAGUCUGAUCACAGAUGUGUAUUUGAGCGUUACUACAGACUCAUAAAACAGUCGUACCUGCAUGUAACCGAAUCUUAAUACAAAUGUGUUCACAUACCUAUCUAUAAAUAUUAAUAUUACAUAAACAUUGGACGAUUAAAUGUAGACAAUGACAUUCCAUACCUGUUUUAUUGAUUAUUUAACUAGUGAUCUACCAAAAUAUCAACCAGUUGAACACUGAAAAUACUACGCUAAAAUUUGGUCAGGCCUUAAACUUGUAGAGGUCUGUUCACUUUUUGUUAUGGAAAAAUCAACAGACCACUUAAAUAUUAAGUUUCCAACAAAGAUUAGAGUGAUAAGAAAUUAGGAGUCAGUCUGUGUGUCAAGUUAGAAAUAACACGUUAUGUCGAUAUAUUCUAUGUUUUAGAGGAGAAUUUUACGCUGAGAGUGCCGCUGGUCUAAUUACACAUUAUGAUUUAAAAUGGAUGAUAAAUCAAAAUAAUUCCAUUUCCGGAUUUGUCUAUUUAACACGGUGAACAAGUCUGCUUUGGCUCUCAUUCCCUUAUAUGAAUAGUUAUAGAUAAAUAAUGUGGGACACUUUUUGACAUGGUUUUGUUAGGUAUAGAGUAGUUUACCAGUCACAGUCGUAGGAGUAUUAGAAGAGUUAUAUAGGAUUUUAAUUCAGAGUUUUUACUGUCGUCUAUUUUAAGGUGUUCGACAGUAUAGCCAUUUAGUUAUAAUAACGUAUGCUCUGGUAUAUAUAUAGCCAUGUUUUGUAGUGUCAGUGUGUGUGUUUGUGGCAGAUUACGGAAUACGAGACAAUAGUUAUGUCCUUUAAUAUCGUAUAUAUAUUUGUUAUUUCAAUAAAACUACUUGAACUUUA